UCUCCCGGUUAUCUUUUGCCUCUCCCCGAAACUCUUUCUCGAUCGCUUUUCUCUCCUCUAUGGAGGAACUCACACACACACAUACAUACAAACACCCAGACGACCACCACCACUAGGACCCUUACUUUUCUCGCUCACCCUUCCCUCGAUCUCCCCCUCUCUUCCUUGCACGCACUGUAGCACAGUCAAUGUGCUUGCAUCUCACCGGCGAGUUUUCGACAGUGCAACUAAGGGACAACUCGGGGAAGCAUUCUCCAUACUUUCUGAGGACUGCCGUGAGCUUUGCAGGCGACUCUCUCUCAGCCUUCUCCGCCCACCUAUUCUACUUGGAUGAGAUGGAGGCCCAAUUGCAAAUCUGGCCCAUGUGCCCAUAUGUAAUAAACCCUAAACAUGCUCCGGUGAACUGGACAGAAGAAUCGGCUGUUUCAAUUCAGUGAUGAUUUUUCUUACUUAUAAAUACCGGCAUACCUUGUUUGGUUUGUUCCUCUGAAUCGCCCAGUGUUGCAGUAUUUCUCAAGUGUUGCUAUGGAGCCUGAGAAUGGCGAAGAUAUUCUAUUUGGGACCUGCAACAUUGUUGCUAUUAUUGGUUCCUGCUUUUUUAUAGCUUCUCUUAUGAAGAAAGACAAAUUGGCCAUUUCGAGUGGUGACUAUAACAAGAUAUGGAAACUUGACGAUACUCUGUAUCUUACCAUGAAUGGUAGUCGGUCAUCGAAAAGAUGAAAAUCGAUACUA